UGAGCUGAGAGGUAAAGGGGAGAAUUCUCGGCUGGCAACGCACACAGAUGAGAAUAAUAUGGAAACUCACGGAAGGGCAGGGAGUGUGAGGCCAGUGAUGGACUCCUUGUGUUUGGACUGGGUUAUCCUGUGACAUAAUAGUGAGAUGCCCUGGACCUCAGAGGAGCAGGUAAUUCAGGAUUGAUCCAGCCCUUUAAGAGUGCCAUUAUGUGCUCACUGAGCAGAGAGAAGACUCAAAGGAGAGCAUCAAGAACAUUCAUCACAGCAAUGCUAGUGGGACUGUUCCAGUUUAGAAUGGUCAGCUGUGGAGGGGACUCAUUGCAGGUUUCCCUGUCCCCAUGGCUCUGCUUAUUUCCCAUGUCAUAAAGGGGUGUUGACUUGGACAUGUUCAAGGCCAGAGUGUGAUCUUGAGCCAUUUACAGCCUUACCCACUUGUUGAUGGUUUAACCCCCAACAAAUAAUGUCCCUGUCUGUGCCUUGGUGGUGAGGAUCAACUAGGUAACCCAGAGAUCCCUUGAGCCAGCCCUGGUUGAACUAGGCUCUCAACAUGAAAGAGCUAUCAUAUAUUUUACCUGCUUUAUUUUAUGGGGCCUGUGGAUUCCUGUGAUCUUUCUUUUAACAGAGCACAGUUUAAUGUUUAAAUGAACACUAGGAGCCAGCACCAGUCCCUCAAAUAAAACUCUGACUCCCAAAGUGUUGCGGUGUUGAGUCCGGCUACAGAGAUGUCAGCGUGAUCUUUGGGUGUGUCUCCACCUGCGGAAGCACGAGUGUGAUUUUUGCGUGCGUCUUCACCUUGCUUUUUCCUGUCAGUUGGCACAACACACAUUAGUGGAGACAUAGCUCAUAGAAUUCUGAAACUAUGAAGUACACACUUUGCUGGCAUCUAGCAGGGAACCCCAAAGAUGGAACCAGAAUACCAGACAAGUUCUCACCUGUUCUCAAACCUCCAUUUUUAAACUAUGGAAAUGAAAGUCUAGAGAAACCACUUGACAGAGUUGGGAUUUUGCAACUGGGAGGGAGUAGUAUUCACCAGUAGCCAGCUUACAUAGCUCAGAAAGCAAAUCAGUUUUAUCUUGUUAGCACAGGAGGCCAGUGGCCCAGGACUCUAAUUGGAUGUGUUUUGAAAAUUCCCUGUCUGAGCUGAGGUGUAGCUUGAUGUGUAAGAAAAUCAGGUCACGCACCAUUUUCCCAGGUGAUCCCCUGCUUUUAUGAUAUAAUACUUUAGGGUGCUUCAUUUUACUCAACAAAAGCUAAAACAACAGUCCUACCUGAGAAAGCCUGUGUCCCUUUCCUCUUUCGAUCCUGUCAGAGGGCCCCCAUCACUGGCAUGCUUGUCAGGGAGUAGGGAAGGGCCCUUAACUCAAGGCUUAAGGUUGCUAAAUUAGUUACUCGUCUUGUUGCUACGACAAAAUACCUCACAAAAGCAACUUAAGGGGAGGUUAUUUUGGCUCACAGUUUGGGGGGGUUAGGCAUAGUGGCUGGAGUGAGAGGUAGCUAGUCACCUUGCAUCUUGCCUUCUGGAAGCAGAGCUGAAAACAUGUGCUCAGCUUGCUUCUUAUUUCCUGCCCUCUUGGACCCCAGCCCAUCUGUGGUGUCAUCUGAAUUUGAGGUGGAUGGUGUCACCUGCAUUUAAGGCACAUCUCUCUACCUCAGUUAACAUAGUCAAUAAAAUCCCUCACACAUAUUCAGAUAGAUUUGUUUCUUGGGUGAUUCUAAAGUCUAUUGAGCUGAUGGUAUUAACUCUCAGGGUACCAAAGAGAAAAUGUCUCCAAAUCAAGUGAGAGUGGCUGAGACCACCCUCAUGGAGGCCAGCAACCUGGGCACAGUGAGCACAAUGCAGCAGCAGUGAUGCCUUAGCCCAGCCCAUUUUAUAGAGAGAUGGAGGCUCAGAGUUGUUACACAAGCCAUAUGAGACUGCAUAGCUCACACCGUAUAAACCAACACCUCCUGUGCAUGUGUACCCCCCUUCACUCCCAACCCACUGCCUCAUUUCCUCUGCUGACACCCCUGACCAGGACCACCUGAUUGACUAGGGCCUCCUGACUAGGCCUCCCUGACUAGGACUUCCUUGUAGCCACAGUGAAGAGAGGAGUUGUUGGGGUUAGGAGUCUUUGUGACUGGUCAUUCAGUGGUGACCUGUUCCUCCAGUUGAUCCUCUGAUGAUCUGGAGGCUGCCAGAGUGUGACUGUGUUCUGCUAAGGGGUAUUUACUGCUGAGGCUGUCUUAUACCACAGCCUUUGAGUCCUGGAAAGCCACCACAAAGUGGCUGUAUCAUUACAUCCAGUGGAUGCUCGCAGCCACUCUGUUUCUCUGGCUGCCUCCUACCUUUCUUUAAAUAAGGGCAAAUAAGGGCAUGAUGUGUCUGUGGAUAGCAAAAUGAUCUUUCUGAGUUUGCUUCUAGAAAGGGGCAGUCCCUGGGUGUUGAGCAGGUCAUGAAGAGCCCCUCUUUUGUCAUUUAUAUGGUGAGUUUGCUACAUGUACCCCAUUGGUUGACAAGCUUAAAUGAGACAUAAUAUCACUUGGUAUUUCCUGGGCAAAUGGCUGAAUCUCUCUGAAACAGUUUCCUUCAGUGAUUCUCAGCCAGGGGUAAUUUUGCUCCCAAGGAGAUGUCUGAAGACAGUUUUAGUUGUUGCAGUGGGUAUUCAGUCCUCCCAGGACCCAGUGAAUCCAAAGGAAGGAUGUUGUAAAUAUCCCACAAUGCUUAGGGCGUCUGCACCAUGAAGAAUGCCUAAAACAUCAACAGUGCUGAGUCAAGAGGUGUGGAGUGCCGUGGGCUAAGCUGUGUUCAGAAAGGCAGUGGCCAUGGGUAGAUGCCCUCCGGUGGUGGC